rnacentral:rRNA from 1 species
GAUGAACGCUAGCGGCAGGCCUAACACAUGCAAGUCGAGGGGUAGAAGGAGCUUGCUCCUUUGAGACCGGCGCACGGGUGCGUAACGCGUAUGCAAUCUACCUUUUGCAGAGGGAUAGCCCAGAGAAAUUUGGAUUAAUACCUCAUAGUAUGUGAGGAUGGCAUCAUUUUCACAUUAAAGUCACAACGGCAAAAGAUGAGCAUGCGUCCCAUUAGCUAGUUGGUAAGGUAACGGCUUACCAAGGCUACGAUGGG